rnacentral:rRNA from 1 species
GACGUAGGGCGCGAGCGUUGUCCGGAUUUAUUGGGCGUAAAGAGCUCGUAGGCGGCUUGUUGCGUCAGCUGUGAAAACCCGCAGCUCAACUGUGGGCUUGCAGCUGAUACGGGCAGGCUUGAGUUCGGUAGGGGAGACUGGAAUUCCUGGUGUAGCGGUGAAAUGCGCAGAUAUCAGGAGGAACACCGGUGGCGAAGGCGGCAUCCUGGACCGGUAUUGACGCUGAGGCGCGAAAGCUAGGGGAGCAAACGGG